CCAUAACCAGGACAUUUCACGCUCCUCUCCCAUAAAGCUGUUUAGAGCAAAUUAAAUUUCUCCCUAACCAGGCUGUAACAGUUCAUGUUAGAUGUGGAUCUAAAUGUUAAUUGCAGUGACAAUAACAGGUCUGAUCCUGCAAUCCUUAUUUGAGUAAAACCUCCCACAGAAGCCAAAGGAAUUUUGCCCCAGAGAAGGCAGCUGGAUGCAGUCCCACAUUUCCAGUCUCUUGAAGAUGCCAGAAGGGAUGCUUGAAGGUCCUGUGCUGGCUGGGAGAACUGCCUGGAGAAACAGCUGCUCUUGUCCUUUGCACCCUUGGGUGAUGCCAGCACCCUUUAGCCCGGGCUCCUGAGGAAGGACAGCUGAUAAGGAAGGAGAGAGAGACACAACAAGAUUUUGGGAGACAAGUCAGAGAUCCUGGAGCCUGGAAGUGGAGUUAGUCCCUGAACAGAGCCUUGCCAAGACUCUCAGCAUCCCUCAGACACAUCCAAACCCCUCCAGCUGCUGAGAGGGGCUCCUGCUCCUCGGGGAGACCCUGCAUGCAGGAACCAGCAAAGCUCCAGGACAAGCCACUUCUGUCAGUGCUGCAGAUUCAAACUGCCUUGUUUUGUUUCCCAGCAGCAUUUAACAGGCUGCUGAUGUUUGUUUAUGAAGUGAGAUGCACAUGAUUUAUUUGAUCUGCUGGAGAGCUGCAUUCCCACGCCAAGGACAGGCAGAGACGUUGCAUUCUCCCCUCUUUUGGGGACUGCUGAGAUCAAAUCCUCCCUUGCACGGGCAGAGCUGCACUCUCAGCUGCUUCAAAACUGGACAUUAAAUGCUUAUUAGAA